rnacentral:rRNA from 1 species
UACGUAGGGUGCAAGCGUUAAUCGGAAUUACUGGGCGUAAAGCGUGCGCAGGCGGUUAUGUAAGACAGAUGUGAAAUCCCCGGGCUCAACCUGGGAACUGCAUUUGUGACUGCAUAGCUAGAGUACGGUAGAGGGGGAUGGAAUUCCGCGUGUAGCAGUGAAAUGCGUAGAUAUGCGGAGGAACACCGAUGGCGAAGGCAAUCCCCCUGGACCUGUACUGACGCUCAUGCACGAAAAGCGUGGGG